rnacentral:tRNA from 1 species
GCAACCGUUCCUGCCGAACGGUAGAGCCCCAGAUUGUGAUUCUGGUUGUUGCGGGUUCGAGUCCCGUCGGUCACCCCA